UGAGGAAUAUUGGACAAUGGGCGCAAGCCUGAUCCAGCCAUGCCGCGUGCAGGACGACGGCUCUAUGGUGUGUAAACUGCUUUUGUACGGGAAGAAACCCUCCUUCGUGAGGAAGCUUGACGGUACCGUACGAAUAAGCAUCGGCUAACUCCGUGCCAGCAGCCGCGGUAAUACGGAGGAUGCAAGCGUUAUCCGGAAUCAUUGGGUUUAAAGGGUCCGUAGGCGGAUUAGUAAGUCAGUGGUGAAAUCUCAUCGCUCAACGAUGAAACUGCCAUUGGUACUGUGAGUCUUGAAUUACGUGGAAGUAGCUAGAAUAAGUAGUGUAGCGGUGAAAUGCAUAGAUAUUACAUAGAAUACCAAUUGCGAAGGCAGGUUACUAUGUCUUAAUUGACGCUGAUGGACGAAAGCGUGGGGAGCGAACA
rnacentral:rRNA from 1 species